UACAGGGGGUGCAAACGUUGCUCGGAAUUAUUGGGCGUAAAGCGCGCGUAGGCGGCUACUUAAGUCGGAUGUGAAAGCCCCUGGCUCAACUGGGGAAGUGCACCCGAAACUGAGCAGCUAGAGUACGAAAGAGGGUCGCGGAAUUCCCGGUGUAGAGGUGAAAUUCGUAGAUAUCGGGAGGAACACCGGUGGCGAAGGCGGCGACCUGGGUCGAUACUGACGCUGAGACGCGAAAGCGUGGGGAGCAAACAGG
rnacentral:rRNA from 1 species